AUUUAGUUAGUUUAAAAUAAAAUAAUGGGUUGUGGUCUCUUAGAUAGAAAUAUUUACUAAAUU
rnacentral:tRNA from 1 species